rnacentral:rRNA from 1 species
CUUACCAGGUCUUGACAUCCCCUGACACUCCUAGAGAUAGGAAUUUCCCCUUCGGGGGACAGGGUGACAGGUGGUGCAUGGUUGUCGUCAGCUCGUGUCGUGAGAUGUUGGGUUAAGUCCCGCAACGAGCGCAACCCUUGAUCUUAGUUGCCAGCAUUCAGUUGGGCACUCUAAGGUGACUGCCGGUGACAAACCGGAGGAAGGUGGGGAUGACGUCAAAUCAUCAUGCCCCUUAUGACCCUACAAUGGAUGGUACAAAGGGCAGCGAAGCCGCGAGGUGGAGCCAAUCCCACAAAACCAUUCUCAGUUCGGAUUGCAGG